GAUGAACGCUGGCGGCGUGCCUAAUACAUGCAAGUCGAGCGAACAGAUGAGGAGCUUGCUCCUCUGACGUUAGCGGCGGACGGGUGAGUAACACGUGGAUAACCUACCUAUAAGACUGGGAUAACUUCGGGAAACCGGAGCUAAUACCGGAUAAUAUAUUGAACCGCAUGGUUCAAUAGUGGAAGACGGUUUUGCUGUCACUUAUAGAUGGAUCCGCGCCGCAUUAGCUAGUUGGUAAGGUAACGGCUUACCAAGGCAACGAUGCGUAGCCGACCUGAGAGGGUGAUCGGCCACACUGGAACUGAGACACGGUCCAGACUCCUACGGGAGGCAGCAGUAGGGAAUCUUCCGCAAAGGGCGAAAGCCUGACGGAGCAACGCCGCGUGAGUGAUGAAGGUCUUCGGAUCGUAAAACUCUGUUAUUAGGGAAGAACAAAUGUGUAAGUAACUAUGCACGUCCUGACGGUACCUAAUCAGAAAGCCACGGCUAACUACGUG
rnacentral:rRNA from 1 species